UGCAAGUCGAGCGGUAACAGAAAGUAGCUUGCUACUUUGCUGACGAGCGGCGGACGGGUGAGUAAUGCCUGGGAAUAUGCCUUGAUGUGGGGGAUAACUAUUGGAAACGAUAGCUAAUACCGCAUAAUGUCUUCGGACCAAAGAGGGGGAUCUUCGGACCUCUCGCGUCAAGAUUAGCCCAGGUGAGAUUAGCUAGUUGGUGAGGUAAGAGCUCACCAAGGCGACGAUCUCUAGCUGGUCUGAGAGGAUGAUCAGCCACACUGGAACUGAGACACGGUCCAGACUCCUACGGGAGGCAGCAGUGGGGAAUAUUGCACAAUGGGCGAAAGCCUGAUGCAGCCAUGCCGCGUGUAUGAAGAAGGCCUUCGGGUUGUAAAGUACUUUCAGUCGUGAGGAAGGGUGUGUAGUUAAUAGCUGCAUAUCUUGACGUUAGCGACAGAAGAAGCACCGGCUAACUCCGUGCCAGCAGCCGCGGUAAUACGGAGGGUGCGAGCGUUAAUCGGAAUUACUGGGCGUAAAGCGCAUGCAGGUGGUUCAUUAAGUCAGAUGUGAAAGCCCGGGGCUCAACCUCGGAACCGCAUUUGAAACUGGUGAACUAGAGUGCUGUAGAGGGGGGUAGAAUUUCAGGUGUAGCGGUGAAAUGCGUAGAGAUCUGAAGGAAUACCAGUGGCGAAGGCGGCCCCCUGGACAGACACU
rnacentral:rRNA from 1 species